GAAGCAGCGCCCGCGAGGGGCCGUGGAGCGGCUGGAAGCGAAAAUGUAGGCAUGAGUAACGAUAAGAAGGGUGAAAAACCCUUCCACCGUAAACCCAAGGGUUCCUGAUCAACGCUAAUCGGAUCAGGGUUAGUCGAGACCUAAGGUGUACCCGGUGAGGCCGGGGAAGCCGAUGGCAAAGCGGUUAAAUAUUCCGCUACCGAAGCCAGCGUAUGGCUAAGGCGUGACGCAGAAGUGACACUCCCGCGUGCUGACGAAUGCACGUUAAAGGGCGUAGGCCGGGGGGCAGGCAAAUCCGCCUCCCGU
rnacentral:rRNA from 11 species